rnacentral:rRNA from 1 species
AUUGAACGCUGGCGGCAUGCCUUACACAUGCAAGUCGAACGGUAACAGGUCUUCGGAUGCUGACGAGUGGCGAACGGGUGAGUAAUACAUCGGAACGUGCCCAGACGUGGGGGAUAACGAGGCGAAAGCUUUGCUAAUACCGCAUACGAUCUAAGGAUGAAAGCAGGGGACCGCAAGGCCUUGCGCGUUUGGAGCGGCCGAUGGCAGAUUAGGUAGUUGGUGGGAUAAAAGCUUACCAAGCCGACGAUCUGUAGCUGGUCUGAGAGGACGACCAGCCACACUGGGACUGAGACACGGCCCAGACUCCUACGGGAGGCAGCAGAGGGGAAUUUUGGACAAUGGGCGAAAGCCUGAUCCAGCAAUGCCGCGUGCAGGAUGAAGGCCUUCGGGUUGUAAACUGCUUUUGUACGGAACGAAAAGGCUCUGGCUAAUACCUGGGGCACAUGACGGUACCGUAAGAAUAAGCACCGGCUAACUACGUG